AAUAAAUUAUUUAAAGAUGAAAUUCAUUUGAUUUAUGUGAAUAAAGUUGACUUUCCAUUUUGCCAUGAAAUACGGGUUGACACAUAACAAGAUUAAUUGGCAGCUAAGUACAGCAGUGGAGCUCUCUGUGCAAGCAUGGCCGAUAAUGAUCCUCCUGCAAAGAACGCAUAAUCAGUAUAAAAGUGUGUCCAAGAAAUGGCCAUCAGUGGCAAAGAACCACCAGGAAGAUAUUGCUAUAGAGAUGGUGUUGGUAGAGGCUUAGAUACUUGUUGCCUUCCAUUUAUGGAGAUUCCUGUUAUUGAUUUCGAUCUUCUUACAUCCCCAUCUUCUAGCAGACAAGAACAUGCAAAACUUCAUUCUGCUCUCAGCUCAUUUGGAUGUUUUAUGUCAAUUAAUCAUGGAAUGUCAAGUUCAUCCUUGAACAAAGUGCGUUCAGUUAUCAAGCAAUUCUUUGCCCUUCCUCUGGAAGAGAAACAAAAAUAUGGUGGAGGAAUUGACGGCGGGGAGGGUUAUGGGAAUGACAUGAUUCUUUCAGAUGAUCAAGUACUUGACUAGCGUGACCGAUUAUUCCUUGUAGUAAGCCCAGAAGAACAACGGAAGCUCAAGCUUUGGCCUGAAUACCCUGAAAAUUUUAGGUCUUUCCUAAAAUCUGCAGGGAGACUUUAUUUGAAUAUAUUGCCAAAUUGGAGCUGAUAAGUGAGGUUGUCCUUGAGGCCAUGGCAAUGUCAUUAAACUUGGAAGAUAGCUGUUUUUGGAUAAAUGUGGAGUUCAAGCAACAAUGCGUGCACGAUUUAACUUCUUUCCACCGUCUUCAAGGCAUCAUCAAGUUCUUGGUCUUUAACCACAUUUAGAUUCGUCAAUAAUCACCAUUGUCCUUCAAGACAGAGAAGUGGAAGGUUUUCAAUUCCUGAAAAAUGAUCAAUGGUUUAGGGCUCUGAUUAUUCCCGAAGCUCUUCUCAUUAACAUUGGUGAUCAAACAGAGGUAACUGACUGCCUUAGGUACAUUAAAAUUUCAUAAAUGAGUAGACCUUGUUGAUAUUUAGGGAGUUUAUAUUUCUUUCAUAUUGCUAAAUUAACAAUUUUGAGGUACCUUCAAAGUCUAUAUAAUAAGUAAACUAUAUCUUUAAAUCCUUAAAAUUUUUAUUUUUAUUGUCUACUACUCGUAAAUAUAUAUUUUUAAUUUAAAUUGCGAUUUAUAACAAAUUAAUAAUGUAACCAUCAAUUUUUGAGUUUUAUUUUUUUCGUUUAAAAUUGGUUUUUUUAUUUGGUAUUAAAAUCCGAUAAUAAAUAUAUAUCUACACAUAGUAAUCACCUUUUCGAUCAACCACUACUUUCCUUUUUUUUUUUAAAGAAAAAAGAAAAGAAAAAGUUCUUCCUUGCAUCCACAAAAAAGUCUUCCUAAUCUUUUUUCCACAUACAAAGACUUCUUUGCAUAAAGGAAGUCUUUCUAGUCUGCAUUCAUUAAAUAAUUUAAAACCAUCAAAUAAAAGGAUCUGUUCUUUAUUAUUUUUUUCUUUCUUCACAACAAUGUUUCUUAUGUCAAAGUCCACCCAAAUCAUACAUCUUAUAGAGAUAAAUUUUAACUUUUCUUGUAUUAUUUCUCUAUCAAUUAAUGGGUGCAACAUUUCCAUAUUUAAUGGAUCAAAUAUAUUAGAUAGUUUAUUUUAAAGAUUAGAAACAUAUUUUCCAAGAAAAAUAAAAAAUCAGUUUCAUAUACAUUGAAUGAACUUUGGCACUCAGUUUUUCUGUUAUUUGUCGUACCAUCAUUAUUAUAUAAAAUAUAUAUCCAAAUCGGUGUUAAUACGUUUCGUUGUGAAUAUGACAUAUGUUAUAUUUAUAAUUUAUUAAUUAUAAUAUUUUAAAUAUUAAUAAUGAAUAUUGUAAAAUAUAUGACUUAUUUAAAUAUAAGACUAUUGUAUUUCUAAAAAAU